rnacentral:rRNA from 1 species
ACGCUCGACACCUACGGGAGACAGCAGUGGGGAAUAUUGCACAAUGGGGGAAACCCUGAUGCAGCGACGCCGCGUGAGCGAAGAAGUAUUUCGGUAUGUAAAGCUCUAUCAGCAGGGAAGAAAAUGACGGUACCUGACUAAGAAGCCCCGGCUAACUACGUGCCAGCAGCCACGGUAAUCUGAGCGGGCUGGCAAGGC